rnacentral:rRNA from 1 species
CACGUAGGGUGCGAGCGUUGUCCGGAAUUAUUGGGCGUAAAGAGCUCGUAGGCGGUGUGUCGCGUCGGCCGUGAAAACUUGCAGCUUAACUGUGGGCGUGCGGUCGAUACGGGCAUCACUGGAGUUCGGCAGGGGAGACUGGAAUUCCUGGUGUAGCGGUGAAAUGCGCAGAUAUUGGGAGGAACACCAGUGGCGAAGGCGGCUACCUGGACCGGAACUGACGCUGAUGCGCGAAAGCGUGGGUAGCAAACAGG